GUUUUUUCUUCAUCGUGGUUAAGUGUUUUGGUUUAUAGUAACUCGACACCAUCAUCGUCCUCCUGUUGGAGCUCUACACCGACUACACACUGAACGAUGUGGGAAGGAACACGUCCACCUAAAUUUAGCUUCUUCGCCACACAUGCCAGCCACAGAUAAGAGGAAUUCUCUGGGUUUAUUUUCUCCCAGCCUGAGAGCCACUUUAAAAUCCAGCCUGGGACUGAAUCCAUGAAAACAAGCCGACUCCGCUGGGUGAAAACUAAAUGAAAAUUCUACAGUUUCUUGCCCCGCUGGACAUCUUUUAAACUGUUUACUUCAGC
ensembl:lncRNA